AACGAACGCUGGCGGCGUGCUUAACACAUGCAAGUCGAACGCGAAAGAGUUCUUCGGAACUUGAGUAGAGUGGCGCACGGGUGAGUAACGCGUAAGUGAUCUACCCCUGUAUCUGGGAUAACUAUGGGAAACUGUAGCUAAUACCGGAUACGUUCAUGUUCUUGCGAGUAUAUGAAGAAAGAUGGCCUCUGAUUCAAGCUAUUGUACAGGGAGGAGCUUGCGUACCAUUAGCUAGUUGGUAGGGUAAUGGCCUACCAAGGCAACGAUGGUUAGCGGGUCUGAGAGGAUGAUCCGCCACACUGGAACUGAGACACGGCCCAAACUCCUACGGGUGGCAG
rnacentral:rRNA from 1 species